CUGCCCACUGAAGAAUUUUAAAGGGCCGCAGUAUUUUGACUGUGCAAAGGUAGCAUAAUCAUUAGUCUUUUAAUUGAGGGCUGGUAUGAAUGGUUGGAUGAGGUAAAUUCUGUUUUAUAUCAAUUGAAAUUGAAUUUAGGUUUUAAGUAAAAAUACUUAAAUGUUAUUAAGGGACGAGAAGACCCUAUAGAGUUUAAUAAAUGUAGUAAGUAAUUGAGUUGUAAGAUAAUUUUUAGUUUUUGUAAAGUUUAUUUAAUUGGGGUGAUUAAAAGAUAUAAAAAACUCUUUUUUAGUUUUAAUAUUAUAUUUAGUUAUUUGAUCCAUAUUUAAUGAUUAUAAGAUUAAAUUACCUUAGGGAUAACAGCAUAAUUUUUUUUGAAAGUUCAUAUUGAAAAAAGAGAUUGUGACCUCGAUGUUGGAUUAAGAUAAGUUUUGGGUGUAGAUGUUCAUAAACUAGGUCU
rnacentral:rRNA from 1 species